UGGGGCCGCAUCGUUUUCAUCUCGUCGGAAUCGGGGAUCAACAUUCCGAGUGAGAUGAUUCACUACGGCAUGUCCAAAACAGCGCAAAUCUCGGUUUCUCGCGGUCUGGCCGAACUGACCAAGGGCACCANACCGUUAAUUCGGUGCUGCCGGGGCCGACCCUGUCGGAGGGCGUCGAGGUCUUCGUGAGGGAUCUGGCGAAGCAGAACGGCCAGUCGGUCGAAGAGGCGGCCUCG
rnacentral:misc_RNA from 1 species